UCCUACGGGAGGUAGCAGUGGGGAAUAUUGCACAAUGGGCGCAAGCCUGAUGCAGCAACGCCGCGUGAGGGACGAAGGCCUUCGGGUUGUAAACCUCUUUUAGUAGGGAAGAAGCGACUGGGUUUUCCUGGGAGUGACGGUACCUGCAGAAAAAGCACCGGCUAACUACGUGCCAGCAGCCGCGGUAAUACGUAGGGUGCAAGCGUUGUCCGGAAUUAUUGGGCGUAAAGAGCUCGUAGGCGGUUUGUCGCGUCUGCUGUGAAAACCCGAGGCUCAACCUCGGGCCUGCAGUGGGUACGGGCAGACUAGAGUGCGGUAGGGGAGAUUGGAAUUCCUGGUGUAGCGGUGGAAUGCGCAGAUAUCAGGAGGAACACCAAUGGCGAAGGCAGAUCUCUGGGCCGUAACUGACGCUGAGGAGCGAAAGCAUGGGGAGCGAACAGGAUUAGAUACCCUGGUAGUCCAUGCCGUAAACGUUGGGAACUAGAUGUGGGGACCAUUCCACGGUCUCCGUGUCGCAGCUAACGCAUUAAGUUCCCCGCCUGGGGAGUACGGCCGCAAGGCUAAAACUCAAAGGAAUUGACGGGGGCCCGCACAAGCGGCGGAGCAUGCGGAUUAAUUCGAUGCAACGCGAAGAACCUUACCAAGGCUUGACAUAUACCGGAAACGGCUGGAAACAGUCGCCCCGCAAGGUCGGUAUACAGGUGGUGCAUGGUUGUCGUCAGCUCGUGUCGUGAGAUGUUGGGUUAAGUCCCGCAACGAGCGCAACCCUCGUCCUAUGUUGCCAGCACGUAAUGGUGGGAACUCAUGGGAUACUGCCGGGGUCAACUCGGAGGAAGGUUGGGAUGACGUCAAAUCAUCAUGCCCCUUAUGUCUUGGGCUUCACGCAUGCUACAAUGGCCGGUACAAAGGGCUGCGAUACCGCAAGGUGGAGCGAAUCCCAAAAAGCCGGUCUCAGUUCGGAUUGAGGUCUGCAACUCGACCUCAUGAAGUCGGAGUCGCUAGUAAUCGCAGAUCAGCAACGCUGCGGUGAGUACGUUCCCGGGCCUUGUACACACCGCC
rnacentral:rRNA from 1 species